rnacentral:misc_RNA from 1 species
GUAGGUGAACCUGCGGAAGGAUCAUUGCAAAUCACGAGGGGGGGGAAGUUGGUGGGUGGUAUAUGGUGGUGGUGGGGUGGUUGAGGGGGAAAGAGGGGAGACGAUUCCUUCUUUUUCUCUGGCUUACUUUGCUAUGCUAUAUAUAAUAUACCUGGCUCCUUCUUUACUCACAUAUGCACGACAAGGCCUGCUUCGGUGGGCUGCGUCGAUGUUUACGCUUGUAUGUUUGACUGUUUCAUGAUGCCAUUAA